rnacentral:rRNA from 1 species
AUUGAACGCUGGCGGCAGGCUUAACACAUGCAAGUCGAGCGGGGGAAGGUAGCUUGCUACCGGACCUAGCGGCGGACGGGUGAGUAAUGCUUAGGAAUCUGCCUAUUAGUGGGGGACAACAUCUCGAAGGGGAUGCUAAUACCGCAUACGUCCUACGGGAGAAAGCAGGGGAUCUUCGGACCUUGCGCUAAUAGAUGAGCCUAAGUCGGAUUAGCUAGUUGGUGGGGUAAAGGCCUACCAAGGCGACGAUCUGUAGCGGGUCGGAGAGGAUGAUCCGCCACACUGGGACUGAGACACGGCCCAGACUCCUACGGGAGGCAGCAGUGGGGAAUAUUGGACAAUGGGGGGAACCCUGAUCCAGCCAUGCCGCGUGUGUGAAGAAGGCCUUAUGGUUGUAAAGCACUUUAAGCGAGGAGGAGGCUACUCUAGUUAAUACCUAGGGAUAGUGGACGUUACUCGCAGAAUAAGCACCGGCUAACUCUGUGCCAGCCGCCGCCGUAA